rnacentral:ribozyme from 1 species
CCAAGUCCAAGCUCGUUGGCUUGAAAGGCGUGGUGAAGAAGGCUGUUGGGCUGGGAGGCUGGCACUGGCUGGGGCUCAGUGAUGGGUCCCACG